rnacentral:rRNA from 1 species
UACGUAGGGUGCAAGCGUUGUCCGGAAUUAUUGGGCGUAAAGAGCUCGUAGGUGGCCUGUCGCGUCGGCUGUGAAACUCGGGGCUCAACUCCGAGCUUGCAGUCGAUACGGGCAGGCUAGAGUUCGGCAGGGGAGACUGGAAUUCCUGGUGUAGCGGUGAAAUGCGCAGAUAUCAGGAGGAACACCGGUGGCGAAGGCGGGUCUCUGGGCCGUACUGACGCUGAGGAGCGAAAGCGUGGGGAGCGAACAGG